AUUGAACGCUGGCGGCAUGCUUUACACAUGCAAGUCGAACGGUAACAGGGUGCUUGCACCGCUGACGAGUGGCGAACGGGUGAGUAAUACAUCGGAAUGUACCCAGUAAUGGGGGAUAACGCUUCGAAAGGAGUGCUAAUACCGCAUACGCCCUGAGGGGGAAAGUGGGGGACCGCAAGGCCUCACGUUAUUGGAGCAGCCGAUGGCUGAUUAGCUAGUUGGUGAGGUAAAGGCUCACCAAGGCGACGAUCAGUAGCGGGUCUUAGAGGACGAUCCGCCACACUGGAACUGAGACACGGUCCAGACUCCUACGGGAGGCAGCAGUGGGGAAUCUUGGACAAUGGGCGAAAGCCUGAUCCAGCAAUGCCGCGUGCAUGAAGAAGGCCUUCGGGUUGUAAAGCGCUUUUGUCUGGGAGAAAAUCCUGGCCUCUAGUACAGGUCGGGGAUGAGAGUACCAGAAGAAUAAGGACCGGCUAACUACGUGCCAGCAGCCGCAGUAAUAC
rnacentral:rRNA from 1 species